UGGAGUCGUGCUGCAGAAACAGUUGAUUAAAGACGCUGUAUUGAAAAUCAGAACGGUCCAAAAUUAUAGCGUAACGGGCCGUAACACAAGUUUGCACUAGCUAGAACCCUGCCUUGGUAAUUUUGGGACAGCAAUGUUUUUGGAGAAUUUUGAUCUGGAGUCACUAACAUGAAGUAUGCAGCAUAUGAGCUUAAUAGCCUUUAGGAGUUACAACAGUGUAAUGCUUAAAACUUAGUCGGUGCAUUCAGCCUUAAAUAUGUCAACUUUAAAAUGACUACAGAGGUAGAUAUUUAAUAUCCCAGCAGAA